GCCGCAGGCGGAACCUCGGGCUCCGCUUUCGGAGACUCGGGGUCCGGGAGUGGGACCCUGGCGCUGCCCCCGGCGGUGUUAACCCCGGGGGACAGGGUGGGGUCCCCAGCCCAGCACCCGGGGCCCCGCAGCUCGGCAGAGGGAGGCCCAGGAGCGCGCCAGGCCUACGUCCCGCUCCGCCAGGGGCGCGGUGCGCUCAGGGCGAGCGGGUCGCCGGCCUCGCCACGAGUUCAAGUGCAUCCGCGGCGUCGGCGCCCGCGGCUGUGGGGGCGAGUUCCCCACUGCUCCGCCCCUUCGCGGGGGUUCGGGGUGCCCUGCUGCUCCCAGGACCCCUCUCUCCAGCCUUCCUGGCCACGCUGGGCCGCCAGCCUGGGGUGCGAACCGGAGCGUACGAGCGGGGCGGGCAGCAGACUCGCGCCCUUGCUCCUCUCCGGCCCGGGCCCAUGGUCUGGGGCCCCCCAAAGACCAACGUGAAGGCUCCGCCUGGAAAAGAAGUCCGACUUCCUCUCCACGCUGCUCGGAGUGGAAUCUGGAAUCGGCAGGAAAUUGCUCAAACACGCAGCCUGAGCCUUUGCAGUCAGCCCUCGCUUUACUGAAGAGAAGCAGCUCCCACCAAAGUCUUGCCUCCCCCUCCCCUCGAAAGUCUCGCUCAGGGAGAGAGUACAGAUGACAUGUCCAUGACUCGGUUUUUGAGCCAUUCCCUGAAGAUAGCAAUUAUGAAUGUGGUCAGAGCCCACAAGAAAAGCCCGGAGCCAUACACUCAGCUAGGUGAAGCCAUGAAGAGAUUUCUGAAUAAUGACACAGCUUCUCAGAUGAUGGGGUACCAGGAAGGCAUUGCCAUGAAUAGGAGAAAAGGUGAUUUUUAAAUUUCUGGAAGAAAAGAGGAAGGCUGAUGGCAUAAUCAAAGAAGUCUCAUACAGUGGGGGGAAGUCACUCAGCUGAGACUGUGAGCUCCUAGAGUGUCUCUUAGAGUAGGCAGGCACUCGUACUGAAUGAAUGGAUAUGCUAAUUAUCAGCUGGUUGGUCCUGAGGAAGAAAGCUGCUAUUGGAAGUACUGAGGAGACCCAAUAAUAGAAACUACACCCUGGAAGACAACACCAGUGUAGAGCACACAGGAGGCCUGUGAUUUCCAUUUGCCACGAGGAUGUUACUCCCUGUGGCAGUACCCCUGCCACGAACUUCCCGAGAGCCCUGCUUUUCACCCCGCAGAGCAGGCUUGGGCUUUAUUGCAGUUGCUCAUCAAUCGUCUCAACUCUGGAAUGGACACCCUUCGAGAGCAACGCCCAUGUUGUUCUUGGCUCAGUGCUGGCACAUGGUGAAUGGCUCAGAAAAUAUGGAAGAGCUCUGAUUAGGUUAUGAUUUUCUGUUAUUAAAGUUCUUUACACGAACAUCUUGUUUUUACUAUUAGUUCCCUCAGAGGCAAUGAAGAGGCAAACCAGUGUGAUUUUUGUCUACUGUUUUCAAAUUUUGUAUUAUUUAAAUACAUGGUGAAGCCACUUAAUCAGAAAAAAGGAUAGGAGUAACUUAAUCAGAACCAACAUUACAGCUUCAAAAUCUCUGCAAGUUGGAAAAGAUUGUUUGAGAAAGGAAGGUACUACAUAAUCCUUAAAUACAAGAUUCAUCCCUUAAUUCUAUUGGUGCUUGGAGCAGCUACCCAAACCCUAAAAGUGAGUUUGUUUCCAGAACACCUGAAACAGAGACCACGUUUUUAUGAUGUUUGCCUUUCACAGUCAAGCCCACGUUAGGGAGCUAUAUUUUCCCUAAAUUUGUUUUUAAGUCAUUUGGGUUUUCCAAUAAAAUAGCGUUUUCAUUUUC